GUAAGAUUUGUAAUUUUCUUUUCCUAUUCUGUUCCCACCACCUACUUUUCCUUCAUCUGUCUAUAAAGAUAUUUUGAAAUACAUAUCUGUACAGCAUGAAGUUCUUGUUGCUUUUUUUCUGUUUUAUGACCUGCUCAAAUAUUGUUGUUUAUUUUUUCCCUUAUUCUAACUAUUCCCACUGAUAUUACUUGUUCAAACUAUCUGAAACAUUUGCUAAUUAUAUCUCUUCUGAUCAUAGAUUCAUCUUUCCUUUUUCUCAGACAACUCACAAGAUGUUUUUUCUGUCACUACUCUAGGAAAAAGUGUUAUUCGGUCAUUAGUUUUGAAAGGAUUUAAAUCAUUUAGCAGAGGAGGAGAAAUGAAACUGAAUAUCCUUAUUUUUUUCCUCAAAAUAAUGAUAUAUCAUCCUAUUUCCUUCUUGUUGUUCUCAUGCAGCAUUCUUGCACUGACAAUGGUAAUAGGACUUGUUAGUUCACAAUGUAUCUUUGGGCUUAUUAUGGUUAAUAAGCUGCAGUUUUAUGGUUAACACAGGCAGUGUUUGUAUAUCUCAUGUGGAUUAUUUAAGCCUCUUUUCAUGGAUACAUCUGACACAGCUGGUAAGAGAGCCUAGCAGGAGAGGUACCCCACUAGAUCUGCUGUUCACAAGCAGAGAAGGACUGGUGGGAGAUGUGGUGGGUGGAAACUGUCUUGGACAUGACGACCAUGAUAUAAGAGAGUUCUUGAUUCUUGCUGAAGUGAGGAAGAGGAUCACUGAAAACACUACCUUGGACUUCCAGAGGGCACACUUUUAAUUGUCUAUGGCAUUGGCUGGGAGAAUCCCUUGUGAGACAGUCCUGAAGGGCAAAGGGGUCUAAGAAGGCUGAACAUUUUUCAAGAAGAAAAGUUUAUAAGGCACAAGAGCAGGUUGUCCCCAUUUGCCCUAAGACGAGCUGGUGGGGAAGAAUGGCCUGGCUGAACAGUGAGCUUUCACAGAGACUCGGGGGGAAGAAGAGAGUUUAACACCUUUGGGAAAAGGGGCAGACAUCUCAGGAACAGUAUUCGGAUGUUUCUAGGAUAUGCAGAGAUAAAAUCAGAAAGGUGAAAGCCCAGCAAGAACUUAAUUAGAUCACUGUUGUAAAAGAUAACAGAAAAUAUUUUUACAAAUACAUUAGCAAUAAAAGGAGGGUCAAAGUGAAUCUCCAUCCUUUAUUGGAUGCAGUGGGGAACAUUACCACCAAAGAUGAGGAAAAGAUUGAGGUACUUAAUGCCUGCACUUUCAUCACUGUAACUACAUGUAACACUAAAGGCUGGGGACAGAGUAGCUGGAAAGCUGCACAGAGAAAAAGGAUCUGGGAGUACUAUUUGAUAGCUGGCUGAACAUGAGCCAGCAGUGUGCCCAGGUGGCUAAGAAGGCCAAUGGCAUCCUGGCUUGUAUCAGAAAUGGGGUUGCCAGCAGGAGCAGAGAGGUAAUUGCAGGAAGUCCCUAGGUUACUGGAAGUAUUUACCACGAGGAGGACAGCUGUAUACUUGUCUGCUUUUUAAUUCUUCCCUAUUUGCUACCAACCACACUCAAAAGCAGGAGACUAGACUCAUGGGCUUUUGGAGUAAUACUUAUUAGAGCAUGUUUUGAAGCUUUCAUGUUGCCCUUUAUCUGACCAUGUUCUUUUAUCAAUAUUUGUCCUGUCUUCCUGGUUAUUCUUUCUCUGAAUGCAGAUAAAAUGACUAUCAUUUUAAGUGGAGAACAGCACCUUUCAAAGAGAUGAGUUUUCACUGAACAGAAUUUUGAAUUUUAUUUGGUGUCAGUAAUCAUGUGCUUCUAAAUUGGAAAACUCCAGGUAUUUAGGUGGGAGUACAUCAUCACUAUUUGCCUUCAUUAAAGGACAUGUUACUUUUAUGUAUCUACAGUUUCUACAGUUCCAUGUUGCAUCUGGCUGUUCAAAUAGCUCCCGAAACUGCUAGUGAAAAAAUUGUAUCCAGCAGGAAUUAACGUAUUCUCCCUUUUGCAAAAGCUGUGCUGCUUCCACUCUUAGGUGCUUAUAGUAUUUCUACUGAUGAUCUUCCAGAUUUAUUUUUAGGGCUACCUCAUGAGAAUCACCUUAUGCUGCACUUCCCAGAGAGUUCCUUAGGACACCAGAACUGAAGUCAACGGGAAUUUUGGAGGUGUGAAGAGCUACUCAGAAGAAGCAAGGAUUUUCCAGUUAUAGGCUUCCUGGUACACAAAAACCAAGGAUAUCCUGGGAAGAGUCCAGCAGAGGGCCACGAAGAUGAUAAAGGGCCUGGAGCAUCUCCCUUUGAGGAAAGGCUGAGCAAACUGGGCUGUUCAGCCUUGUGAUAAGAAGACUGAGAGGUGCCCCUUCCAUAAGAAGAUAUGAGCAAGAGGCUUGCAGGACAAUAACAACUACCAAAAUGGAAAUCUAUAAGCUACAUCAUAGCUGAAUUGUGCAACACGAAUCCAGUCUUGCAUAUUAUGGAGGAGAUAAAUGAGGGAAGUAGGAGGAAAGAAUCUAUCAUUGUCCUACAUGCAUCAUAAUUUUUUCAGCAGAACUAUUUUACUUCAUAAAAUGGUGCUUCUUCAGGUAAAAAAACAAACAAACAAACAUUUGUGGAAAUACACCAGUCUACAACAAGAAAUCUGCCAGGAUCCCCAGGAAGAAAAGAGCGUUUAGAGAGAUGAAUUUCAGAGGAGGAGAAUUAACAUCCCAGGAGUGAUGGUUUAUGUAUUGAAAUGCUUAGUGCUACACUGUGUACCAGCUGCAAGUGGCCUAAUGCCAGCCCUGGAUGUAGAGCAGCUUCAAGUGUGGCAUUUGCACUACUGGCUCAGGCACCUAUGCUUUCCAUGUACUGAACACAGAGAGCUGGGGAUGCUGAAGAGUUGGGAAAGUGCAUAAUUCAAGCCUCCAAAGAUACUGGGUGAAGCAUGUUCCUGAAGGAAUACAUUUCUACAAGACAUUUAUCUAGCUGAACUGUUUUGGAUUUCUUCCCCUAAUGUUAAAAUGCUCAAAAUGCUAUUUUGCCUAACCAAUUGCACCUCCAUGAGGAUUCAAGAAGAGUACAUGUACCUGCCUUGCUUGUGUUAGAUAAAAUCUAACACAAAAUCAAUUCCAGAUGACUAGUCAGAUCUUCACCAAAAUAAAAUUACAUCUACCAUGCCAAAGCUAAGUGAGGAAAGAGUGAGGUAGGUAAAAACCAACCAACCAACCACAAAAAAAAAUGAGAUACAUAAGAUCUCAGUAGUGUAAGGACUAUUCAUUUAAAUCUCUGCUCCAGUUGGUGGGAAGCUACGCUCCUGAGGAAGGUGAGAAGUUAAUGUUCCUGCAUGCUCAUGUAUGUCCCCUUGGGUUCCUUCAGCCCACUCCCCCAAGCUGCUGUUUCUCCCUCACACCUGAUGCAUGGUAAGGAGGAGGUAAUGCACAUAGGAAGGGUUUGGUGAACAGUGGCUAGUGCCUGUGUCACGGGGCAAAUACACUCCUCAGUCCUCCCCUGUCCACUCCAAUUAUUGGAGCAAUUGUUUUCACAUAUAUAAACCUGGAGGAAGACUUAGGCAGCAAAAGAGGCCAAAUGUUGUCCAAUUGAUUUAUUACAAGUUCUAAGCAGCUAAGGAACGCAGGGAAGAUGGGGAAGUUAGAGAUAGUAAAGAGAGAAAUCCUAGCAAAUGGUUUACAAAGCAGGGAUAGUCACCACCAGAGAUCCAGUGAAGUCUCAGUCUGUUGACCCACACAGCUGCAGUCUGUUAGAGGGUGUACUUGCUCUACUUCAGAACUUUUCUGUUUUUUAUCCUUUUCAUAGUGUCACUUUGGUUGCCAGGGGCACUUCUUUUUUUCUUUUUAGUUUACCACAGCUUGCUUUAGAUGUCAGGAAGCACUUAUGUUUUGUUUGUCAGAGGAAACAGCACAUGCCCCUCCCAAUUACCUUCCAGGGUAAUUGGUAGUUGAUCUGUCACAUGGGGGGCUGCUAGGUAAGUACAUUGACUGUAUGGUGAUCCUCUCCUCUGAGAUGACUUCCUUUAGCCGGCUUGAAUGCCCCAAAGGAGCAACAGCCAAAAAUGGUUUCCUCUGAUUGCCCAGUCGCAUAUGUUUCUCUUACUGCUGAGCUCACAAUAAUCAUUAACCCCAAAAGCUUGUUGAGCAGGUUAUGCCUUGGAUGGGUGCUGCUGAAUAAGCUUUGAGCCAAAAAUUGUUCCAGCUUCUCACAUCCCCACAGUUAGUUUGCCCACAGCACAGGACAACUGUUGUUCUCCUAUUCAUGCACCCAAACUUCUCUAGACAGCUAACAGAGUGGCCCAUGUCUUAUGCUAGACUAGAGUUAGAUGGUGGCUGAGGGCACUUUUCAAGGAACCAAGACAGCAGCAUGCCGAAUACCUGCCUGGCCAGACAGUCACAACCACUCAUAACGUCUGUUCAAAUGUGAACAGGAAAUUCUUGCUCUGAAGCUGGCUUUAUGAAUUGGACCCCAUGCUCUGAAGUGUGGAGGAAGGUGAAUGCAUUAGGAAUUUGUGGCCACUUCUGUCUGCAGUUUCUAUAUCAGUAGGUUGGCAUUACUAAUACAGUGGCUUUACUGGUAUAUAGACUUCCAGUCACAUUUACAAAAUGCAUAAGAGGCGCAAUUAAAUCCUUGCAUUCUUGAAACACUUCUGAUCUUUUUCAUGUAGCCUCUCUCUCUCCUGACUUCAAUAAAAAAAAAAAGUGGGAGUAAAAAAAAAAUAGAACAACAAGGUCUGGAGAAUCUCAUAAGUAUACAGAGUAUCAUUAGUAGGUGGUGAUAUAAAAAAAUACAAGAAAUGUUCCUCUCCGUUACUGUAUAUAGAUAUGCCUGGUUGGUCAAAGCCUGCUACUACAAACACCCAGAAUAUAAUUGCAUAUGAUGUUGCUGAACAUCAUUAACCUGAUUGUUCCAGUAAUCUGAUUAGUAACUGCCUUCGAACUCUGUUUUCAUGAAAUUUUUCUUACCAUCUCAAGAAUUAAUUUAUCCAUUGCUGGCUCUUGCAAUCACUUGCUUAUCCCAGCUAAGGCCCAGCUGUGUUGUCUGAGCUCCUUGAGCUCUUCUCUGUAUGUCAGUCAUAUGUUACUCUGCAUUGUGAGCUGUCAUUCAUUUUAAACACAGCCAUGUGGAUGGCUUGGGUCAUGUUCUCCUCUCCUCCCCUACCAGGCUCCUGGGAAAUUUCCACAUUCCAUUUGUAAUUUUCAGGAAUCACUGUCCUGUUUCUCUCUUUCACCUUAUUAGAUAGGAGAACUUACAACAAUGUCCCAUCUUAAGAAAGAUGUGUAAACUCAGCUCACCAAGUAAUGUCACCAGUAUCUCAGGCAAGUAUCAGAACUACUCUAUUAAAAAACAAUAUCAGCCUGUGAAAUCUUCAUCUACCAGUUCAAAUAAAUGGAAACCUUAACUUUUUUCCCAUUACUUUAAGAAUAUCCAGAAGAAUAUAGACUGCCUGCAAAAACAUCUUUUGCAAUGAGGUAUUGAUUUUGAGGAAGUUUUUGCAAUAGAAAGGUUUAUGAGAUCCAGAGCACUCCAGUCACUCCUGAUGGCAGAAAGGAAAAGAAGUCUGAAAUGAAAACCUGGUAUUAUUGAUCUAAAAUUGAUGGUUUUGAUAGAGUGCCAUUUUUGAAACCAAGAAGAUAUGGGAUUUAUUCCAGUGUGAAAUACAAACCAAUUUCAAAACCUUAAGAGCUCAUAAGACUGCCAGACUGCAUGGUGCUAAUGAGUAACGCAUCAGGAGGGAUUUGCAGAGCUACAAAGAUUAGACAGUUCUUACUCUUUUUUUUUUUUUUUUUUUUUUGGUCAUAGAAUUCAUUAUCUGAAUAGGGGAAUCUCUGAAUGGCUAGAAGAUGUCAUCUCCAUUACAGCAUUUGCAGAAAGUGGCUAAUGAUGUAUGCUUCUUCUCAGGACAGUGGCAUCCUGAAGGGCAUGGAAAAACAUUCCACCUACAAAAAGCAUCCUGAUAUUCAAGGCUGGCUCUGAGGCUAAAACCACUGCUCUCCAAGAGAAUGGACUGCAGGGGCAGCAGAGGCUCUCCCAUUUCUGAACCUUGCAAUACUGGGCUGUAUAAUGCUGCUAUCCCUAUAUGAGUGAAGGGGCAUGCAAGAAAGAUUAUUCUUGGAGGAUGGCUAAGACACUAGAUGAGAACACAUCUUUCCAGCAGCAGCUGCAAUUGCUGUACCCAUCAUCUUGCAGGUGUUUGGAAAAAAAAAGUCACUGAGCUGAAAUUCUCAGGGGUCUGCUGCUCCCUCAAGCUCUCCCAACUUUUCCUGUUCUGGGAGCAGGCAAGAACGUUCAAAACACAGGCAACUUUGAUAUAUAUACAUAUUUUUAUAUAGAUAUGUAUAUAUACACACACUACAUAUAAAGAUAUAGAAUGAACCAGUCCUUUGUCAUUAGAGACAAAGAUACAGUGUUUGGUGUUUUGACCUCAACUGACAGAUAAGCCCUGCACCUAGUCAUUGGGACUCAUCAUGUCCCAAGCAGGUUGGGACAGAAUCUCAAAAGCCAAAGGGAGAAAGUGCUAAUGUGCUGAGAUUGAAACAGUUUGGCUGCAGCAACCAAACCCUGGUACAGUUCAUGACCUUGUGUGACAUGGGCCCAGAAAAAAAGUGAAGUUCAGACACUAAAUUUUAGAAGAGCUAAUUUUCAGUUAUUAGAAGAAUUAACAGAGGACGCCUCCUGGAAAACUGUCCUUAGGGAUAAAGGAAUAGAUCAGAGCCCUCAAUUCCCCCAUGUAAGAAAUUAGGAAGGGAAGGCAAGAAACCAGCAUGGCUAAUUAAGAACCUGCUGGUCAAGGCAUGUUGUAAGAAGGAAAUGCAUAGGCAGUGGAAGCAGGGACACGUGGUCUAGAAAGAGUAAAUGGAUGCCACUCAGAUGUGCAUGGAUGAAAUCAGGAGAGCCAAGGCAAAGUUCUCCAUCAUAUUUGAAAGUUCAUGACUGUCAGGUGAAGUGACUGGAAAAAUGGAAAUAUUACUCCCAUUUUUAAGAAAGUUAGAAACAAAGACUCAUGGAACUAGCAACCACUGAGUCUCACUUCUGCGUCCAGGAAAUUCAUGGAGCAGAUCCUCCUGGAAGAGAUGUUAAGGCACAUACAAGAUAGGGAAAUUAGUCAACAAGGCUUCACUCAAAGGCAAAGAUGGAAACAGACAUUUUGGUAGGGCCUGUACUGAUAGGAUGAGGGCAGAUUUAUAUUAAAUAUAAGGAAGAAAUUUUGCAUAACAAGGAUGGUGAGGCACUGAAACUGGACAAGAGGUAGAAACUGCAUUCCUGGAAGAAUUCAAGGUCAGGCUGGAUGGGCUGGGGGCAAACUUUUGUAAUGAAAGGUGUCCCUGACUAUUUCAGUGGGAACGGAAUCAGAUGACUUUUAAGUCCCUUCUACCCUAAAAGCAUUCUAUGAAUUUAAGGUUUCAUCAUAAUACAUUGUAUGAAAUAAAAACAAUUUUCCUUUGGUCUUUUCCAUGCUCUUUCUUUUGCUUUGAUGUACUUCCUUCUGUUUUAAUAUUUCUUGUCCUAUCAAGAGUAUAAAAACGUGCAAGAUUUACUUUUAAUUUUUAAUAUGGUUAUUCUUUUAAUGAUUAUCUGCCUUAGUUCUUUUGCAAAUAAAUAUUUUCUUUUCUCCUUUGUUUGCUUUUGUUUCCUCUCUGUUGUUCUAUUUGUACUUUUAAACAAAAAUUAAACUUUUUCUGUUUAUGCAUUUACCUUGCUCUAUACUUUCAGUCUUUUUUUUUCCCCUGCAUUUAUACUAGCAGCACUAAUUUUCAUUUAGCCUCAGAUCCAAUAAGAGCUUUUAGAAUUCCCCCCCCCCCCCCCCCCCCCCGGAGAAAGUUUUCAUUCAAAUAUUUUUCCUUCACUCUGUACCUACAUAUCGCUGAAGCAGCCAGUCAGAUAUUGGAUUUUCCCCAAGAGCAAAUGAAAAUAAGAGAUUUUUCCUCUUAAAAAAAAAAAAAGAGGAAAAGACUAUGUGAGCUUCAGUUCCUUCCAAUAAAUUUAUAUCUAUACUGUUUAUGUCCUCCUAACUAAUUAUAUUGCAUCUCUAGAGUAGUAUUUUGCAUGUCAUUUUCCUAUUCUUUUGACCACAAUUGGCUGUUCAACUUGACUUUGAAAAACUGCUGAAAAUACAUAAUGAAGUUUUCUUUCUACCUUAAAUGCUACAGCAAAUUAACUAGAGAAUGCAAACAGUUCAGAAUAAUGUGUACAUAAAGCAGAUUUUUUUUCUAUUUAAUACUUAAUGUCAGAGCAAAUGAUUGACAAAUUGAGCAGAAACAAUCCACUAUCAUUAUCUGUCUUCAGUGUUGGAUAGCAAACAAUGUAUUGGCAGUGCUCAGCUUCUUUAUGAAGCUGAUUUCUACAUGAAAUUAGAAUAAGUAUUAAUCUCUAUCUGUACAUAUGAAGAUACAGUCUUGUACCCAUGAAUUAAAUAGAUUUGUAACCUAAGAAAUGAAACAGUGGUGUUAAUUCUCUUUAUAAACAAAUAUUUAGCAUGAAGAACUUAGGCAAAUAUUUUUUAAUUUCUAUUUUAUGUUACACAUAGAUUAGAUAAAACUUACUGUAAACUUGCCUGGUUGUGCUAUUGAAGUUUGAGUUCAUAUUUUUGAUGUACCUUUGAUGGCCAUGACAGUUGAUUGUUUACAUCACUGAGGCUAUAGAGACUCCAGCCUGACAAAAUCCAUAGUACUGUCAGACACUGAACAGCACAACUACCUAGUCAAUUCUACCUUGAAAUUCACUAGUAGUGAUGCUGACAUUGCCAUUUAAUGUUUCUCUUUCACAGUAAAUUUUUAAAGAAGGUUGCUAAUUAAGGACUUGUCUUAUGUGAAAGAAAAGUGUUAAAAAAAUUCCCAAAAAUCUGAAGAGCCAUUAGGCCCUUUUAUAUCAAGUCUGUGUGUCACUGUUCUCAAAAUAAGGCUUUCAUUCUUGAAGAAGUGUUUUAAAAUGAACUGUCUUUAGGGAUCACUUUAAAAAUCAAUUAAACCAAGUUAACACUUGGCAACUUCUUUGGAACUAUGAACAGGAACAUCUCAGGGACAAAUACAGGCUUUUUUGCAAGGGAAAGACUUCAGCCUAUCCUUUGAAGCUCUAUCUUCUAGCAAUACUGUAGUUCUUUCCUUUGAGCAACUUAUAUACAGAUUAUUUCCCAAAACAGAAAUAAAACCUCACGUUCCUUGGGAGCAGAGAAGUGUUUUGUUGGUAGGUUGCUAGCAGAAGAACAUUCCCUGUGGCUGUGCUGUACAGAUUUGAAGGAUGCUUUCUUAACAUCUCCUAUAAGCCUGAAAUUGUUUAAGAGUUCUUAAAAUAUAAUUGCAGAGACUGUCUUCUAUUUAAGUGUGCAUGCUGAAAUACAUAGCUUCUGCUGAAGAAAGAGUUGAGGUAGUUCUAAGCUUCAAAUUCUAACAGUUUAGCACAGCAGAUUCACAGAAAUACCAAUCAAUACAAUCUGUAAAAUCUCACCACACUGAGAAAUUUGGAUCAUUCCACAUUCUUCGCCCAACUAACCUUCUGCUUUAUCCAGGCCCUGAAGUCUCAUAGAACUUCACAUAAGACAUCAACAAGACAGUGCUAUAAGACAUAGCACUGUAGAAAUCUCUUGGGAAAAAUUUGGCCUUCUGUCAAGUUUAUUGGAGUCCAUGGAAAAGUUUCCUGUUAAUGCUAUUUUUGCCACUGAACUCAGCAGAAUUUUACCUCUGUUCUUAUAUUCAAUAACUAUUUUGAGGAUGUUUAAUGUACUCUGCAAUUUAAGUUUCAGCUGUCUUUGAGCAUUAUUCACACACAUUUCUAUUGUUAUCUAAAAUUCAAAUAUUUUAUUAUUUCUUAUACAGUCCAGAAAGUUUUGGUCACCAGAAAGAACAGAUGGUGAAAAGAAUGUUUACUUUUAAAAAUCUGAUGGUGUGUUAGCAUAGAAACAGGCUAUAAUAUUUUGAAGCUCAUUGAGGGUAUUAAGUUUCUGUGCUUUGAAGAAAAGCCAAGAUGCUAUUCAUGGCACAUAUAUAUUACAGAGCAAAGAGUAUGUUUAAUAUGAAAAUACUUCAAAUUUAAGGUACAUCUUUAAAAUGUCUGUUAUGGGCAAUGCACUAGAGGAAGAUGACCAAAAGGGAUCACAUCUUUCUGUCACAGCACUGGCAGAAGCUAUGCAAAGGGCAAAGGCUAGUGUUUGUUUUGGAAACAGGCCUGAGAGGUAGGAGUGUUGAAGGAAAUGAUGAACACACUUGUGUCAAGAGUAGUGCUGCCAUUGUCCUAAUUAAGUCUGUGAAUACUGGAAUAAACAAACACCACUGCACUGAGUUGAGACAAUUUCCUUCUCAGCACAUGCUUUUCAGAACUUGUCUAAUCAGAGAAGUUGAGUAUCUCAUAUGUCUCUCUGAACACAAAUGUUUCUAUAUAUUUUUGUUGCAAUGCUGCUGCGACCACCUUAUUCUUGCACUGUGAUGUUAUGCAGUGAGACUUGCAACAUAAAAUGUGAUAAAGAAAAAAAUGUUACAUUCCUAUUGACAAGAAUUUUCAUCUACAAAACAUUAGAACCCUGAAGACUGUAUGAGUGUAUGUGAGGUAGUCUGGAAGCAGUUUUGCAUAUUAUCACAAUUAUCACAACAGCUAUUCACAUUUCAACUAUUAUUACUAGGAGUCACUACUUGCUCCUGGCAACACUCAGCACACAGAGGUUUUCUGCAAACACAGAGCAGAGUGAAAUUCUAAACAAAUUAAAAAGAAAUUGAGGGGGAAAAAUAAGCACAUCUUAAAAAAGUAAACGACAAAGACAACAGAAUUCUGGAACAAUAUUAAUCUACUUGGUAUUAAAGCAACACUGUUUCAGUCACAUGAAUUUUACCUGAACUAUUCCAGUUUUCAUUUGGUGCAAUACAAAUGCACUUGUUCAAAGGAAUACUUUAACGUGUUUUCCCAUACACUUGCAGAAUGUGCUUGCAUAUCUCAUUUUAAAGGUCGCUGUGUCUUUUAUAGAUCUCUGAUCAGUUUUACCAAUUUACUCGCCUGGCAGUGCUCUCUAUGCUGUAAGACCAAUUCCCAUUGUGUUUUUUUUUUUUUUUUUUAAAUUCAAUUCCUCCCACUGCUUCUGCAAAGUGGACACAGAGUUUGGGACAACACCAGAGCCUUUUAGCCACACUGAGGUAAUAGCUGUAUAAGCCUCCAGAUCGCAGGAACACAAGUGCUGCACUACUGCUGCAUUUAAAAGUCAAAAUCUCCUCUUCCCUAAUCAAGUGAUUACCCUAAUUUUCUGGGUUUUAUUUUAAUAAUUUAUAUAUAGACAAAUAUUUAUGCAUUUCAAGCAACACUGCACUAUCCUUUAGGUUGAUCACCCCCACCCCCCAAUUUUAUUUCCCUAAAAAUUAUUCUCUACAUAUUUCUGUCAUGGAAAUAACAGUCUGCUAAACAUAGCAUCACCACAGGACACUCUGCAUUAGAGAUCUUACUGAAGGCUCACAAAGUGACAGACAGAAUGACUUCCCUGAAACAGUUACAACACACCUGUUGUAGUAGGCAUCUUGUGGGGGCACAGGAUGUACAGGACAGGCUUCUCCCUAAGCAUAGAGAGACAGUGCUAUCGUGCUGACCUUGAUGCAGAGAAAACAGGAAAAAAAGAAGGAUGAGAAAAGAAUGUGGAAAUGGCCAAAUAAGGCACAAUGUUACCUGGUAUGAACCAAUCAGAGUGGGACAUGACAGCACAGUUUUGUAGGUAAAAUGUAUAUAAGCUGUGUUCAGUAGUGAAUAAACGCCAUUUUACCGCUCAUCAUAUUGGUGUCACCUCGGUAUAUGGCCAAGCCGCAGGCUCCCCAAGGCAACGAGCAUCAUGGUUGACUUCAAUAGUCAACACAUAUCAAAACUUCAGUGUUUUACCAAGAAUUAUCUGACCUAAAAUUCAAUUUACAUUUAUUGUAAUCACUGAUAGACAUGGAGGGAAAAAGACAAUUCUCUACAUUAACAUGUAGAAAUUCCAAUAUCAUGUGCUUCUUUAAAAUAUCUUUAUUAAGGAAUGGAGGAACAUUUUCCAAGAUCCUUCAUAUUUAGAUGGAGAAUUAUGUAAGCUUAUCACCUCUCAGAUACUGAAAAAAAUAUGGUUUUCCCUUAGAUUGCAAUAAGACUUUUGUCUAAUUUAUCAUUUUUCUACCUAUCAUUAAUAUUAUUUGUGAAAUAAGAAUACUACUCAUGGAAUAUUAUUGGAAAGUUCUUCCUGUUCAAUGAAAAAUAUAAUGAGCAAUUUUUUUUUUUUUACUCAUUCAAGAAAAAUUUCCUUUCUGAUUAGUUCCCAAACUAUGCCAUAUAUUUGCAUAAUGGUGCAUUACAGGACCACAUCCAAGACUUGCUGAGAAGUAGCCAGAAGAGAGAUGGUCUUGUUUGCUCUAACAUUCAUUUCAGUUGCAGGUUUACAAUUUUAAGGCUAAGCUGGGUAGGUACAUGCAAAUAUUUUGUGAUUCUUCAAUUCCAAAAUAUCCCUCCCCCCCCCCCCCCCCCCCCCCCCCAUCCCAUCCAUCUUGCUCCAAUUCUGGUUAAGUUACACAGAAAAAACUAGAGGUCCUUCUCAGCAAGAAGUUGACUACAAGUCAGCAAUAUACCCUUGAAGCAAAGAGGGCAAACAUCCUCCUGGCUGCAUAAGAGGAAGUAAUUCCAGCAGGUGGAGAAAGGCAACCAAUUCCCGCUACUCAGCACUGACACAUCUGGCAUACUGGGUCCAGUUCUAGGCUUCCCAGUAAAUGAGAGACACAUACUGGAGGGAACCCAGCAAAGAGCCACUAAAAGGAGAAGAAUUUGGAGCAGAAGCCCCAAACCCCUGAAACUUCAAUUUCUGAGAUACUGUGAUUGCCAGUUAAAAGAGAGGGUCUCUGUCAGGGCAUGAUACAGGAACAUGCCCUUACAGUGCUUCUUUCUAUACCUCUUUCUUUUCACCCUUCUGAUUCCUCCACAAGUUGGGGGGGGGGGGGGGG
ensembl:lncRNA